GAUGAAGAACGUAGCGAAACGCGAUAAGUAAUGUGAAUUGCAGAAUCCAGUGAAUCAUCGAAUCUUUGAACGCACAUUGCGCCCGCCAGCAUUCUGGCGGGCAUGCCUGUUCGAGCGUCAUUUCAACCCUCGACCUCCCCUUGGGGAGGUCGGCGUUGGGGACCGGCAGCACACCGCCGGCCCUGAAAUGGAGUGGCGGCCCGUCCGCGGCGACCUCUGCGCAGUAAUACAGCUCGCACCGGGACCCCGACGCGGCCACGCCGUAAAACACCCAACUUCUGAACGUUGACCUCGAAUCAGGUAGGACUACCCGCUGAACUUAAGCAUAUAUAAGCGGAGGA
rnacentral:misc_RNA from 1 species